UACGUAGGGUGCAAGCGUUAAUCGGAAUUACUGGGCGUAAAGCGUGCGCAGGCGGCUUUGCAAGACAGAUGUGAAAUCUCCGGGCUCAACCUGGGAACCGCAUUUGUGACUGCAUGGCUAGAGUACGGUAGAGGGGGAUGGAAUUCCGCGUGUAGCAGUGAAAUGCGUAGAUAUCUGGAGGAACACCGGUGGCGAAGGCGGCAUCCUGGACCAACACUGACACUGAAAAGCGAAAGCCAGGGGAGCAAACGGG
rnacentral:rRNA from 1 species